AAUGAGGUGCCUGACAAAAAGGGUUAUUUUGAUAGAAUAAAUCAUGUAAAUUUUACUCUCAUUA
rnacentral:tRNA from 1 species